CCUACGGGAGGCAGCAGUGAGGAAUAUUGGUCAAUGGCCGGAAGGCUGAACCAGCCAUGCCGCGUGAAGGUCAGUGCCCUAUGGGCGUUAAACUUCUUUUGUGCGGGAGCAAUAAUGGUCACGUGUGGCCAGACGAGAGUACCGUACGAAUAAGCAUCGGCUAACUCCGUGCCAGCAGCCGCGGUAAUACGGGGGAUGCAAGCGUUAUCCGGAGUUAUUGGGUUUAAAGGGUGCGUAGGCUGUGAGGUAAGUCAGCGGUGAAAUGCCCCCGCUCAACGGGGUGAAGUGCCAUUGAUACUGCCUGGCUGGAAUGCGGAUGACGUGGGAGGAAUGUGUGGUGUAGCGGUGAAAUGCAUAGAUAUCACACAGAACACCGAUUGCGAAGGCAUCUCACGGAUCCGCGAUUGACGCUGAUGCACGAAAGCGUGGGUAUCAAACAGGAUUAGAUACCCCAGUAGUC
rnacentral:rRNA from 1 species